GCAAGUCGAACGGAAACGAUGGUAGCUUGCUACCAGGCGUCGAGUGGCGGACGGGUGAGUAACGCGUAGGAAUCUGCCCGGUUGUGGGGGAUAGCCCGGAGAAAUCCGGAUUAAUACCGCAUACGCCCUACGGGGGAAAACAGGGGAUCUUCGGACCUUGUGCAAUCGGAUGAGCCUGCGUGAGAUUAGCUUGUUGGUGAGGUAAAGGCUCACCAAGGCGACGAUCUCUAGCUGGUCUGAGAGGAUGAUC
rnacentral:rRNA from 1 species